rnacentral:rRNA from 1 species
GACGUAGGGGGCCAGCGUUGUUCGGAAUUACUGGGUGUAAAGGGUUCGUAGGCGGGUCUUUAAGUCAGGGGGGAAAUCCUGGAGCUCAACUCCAGAACUGCCUUUGAUACUGAAGAUCUUGAGUUCGGGAGAGGUGAGUGGAACUGCGAGUGUAGAGGUGAAAUUCGUAGAUAUUCGCAAGAACACCAGUGGCGAAGGCGGCUCACUGGCCCGGUACUGACGCUGAGGCGCGAAAGCCAGGGGAGCAAACGGG